CUUGAGCGACCCCAGCCGCAGCGGCUGCGCCCGGUCCUGGCCGUAGACGGCGAGCACGGCCUGCGCCUC
rnacentral:antisense_RNA from 1 species